rnacentral:rRNA from 1 species
AUUGAACGCUGGCGGCAGGCCUAACACAUGCAAGUCGAGCGGGGUUUUCGGACCUAGCGGCGGACGGGUGAGUAAUGCGUGGGAAGCUACCCGAUAGAGGGGGAUACCAGUUGGAACGACUGUUAAUACCGCAUAAUGUCUACGGACCAAAGUGUGGGACCUUCGGGCCACAUGCUAUCGGAUGCGCCUACGUGGGAUUAGCUAGUUGGUGGGGUAAUGGCUCACCAAGGCGACGAUCCCUAGCUGGUUUGAGAGGAUGAUCAGCCACACUGGAACUGAGACACGGUCCAGACUCCUACGGGAGGCAGCAGUGGGGAAUAUUGGACAAUGGGCGCAAGCCUGAUCCAGCCAUGCCGCGUGUGUGAAGAAGGCCUUCGGUUGGUUAAGACACUUUACUAGCGAGGAGGAAGGG